UGGGGAAUAUUGCACAAUGGGGGAAACCCUGAUGCAGCGACGCCGCGUGAACGAAGAAGGUAUUCGAAUCGUAAAGUUCUGUCCUAUGGGAAGAUAAUGACAGUACCAUAGAAGAAAGCUCCGGCUAAAUACGUGCCAGCAGCCGCGGUAAUACGUAUGGAGCGAGCGUUGUCCGGAAUUAUUGGGCGUAAAGGGUACGCAGGCGGUUUAAUAAGUCGAAUGUUAAAGAUCGGGGCUCAACCCCGCAAAGCAUUGGAAACUGAUAAACUUGAGUAGUGGAGAGGAAAGUGGAAUUCCUAGUGUAGUGGUGAAAUACGUAGAUAUUAGGAGGAAUACCAGUAGCGAAGGCGACUUUCUGGACACAAACUGACGCUGAGGUACGAAAGCGUGGGGAGCAAACAGG
rnacentral:rRNA from 1 species